rnacentral:rRNA from 1 species
GAUGAACGCUGGCGGCGUGCCUAAUACAUGCAAGUCGAGCGAACAGACGAGGAGCUUGCUCCUUUGACGUUAGCGGCGGACGGGUGAGUAACACGUGGGUAACCUACCUAUAAGACUGGGAUAACUUCGGGAAACCGGAGCUAAUACCGGAUAAUAUUUCGAACCGCAUGGUUCGAUAGUGAAAGAUGGCUUUGCUAUCACUUAUAGAUGGACCUGCGCCGUAUUAGCUAGUUGGUAAGGUAACGGCUUACCAAGGCAACGAUACGUAGCCGACCUGAGAGGGUGAUCGGCCACACUGGAACUGAGACACGGUCCAGACUCCUACGGGAGGCAGCAGUAGGGAAUCUUCCGCAAAGGGCGAAAGCCUGACGGACCAACGCCGCGUGAGUGAUGAAGGUCUUCGGAUCGUAAAACUCUGUUAUUAGGGAAGAACAAACGUGUAAGUAACUGUGCACGUCUUGACGGUACCUAAUCAGAAAGCCACGGCUAACUACGUG